rnacentral:rRNA from 1 species
AUGACCAUCCACCAUUGUUUCUUCGAAAGCAUGCGGCAGAGGCACCCACACCCGCGGUUCAGCAAGAUCUACAUCUCCAACAACUACACCAAGGACUGGGGCAUAUACGCCAUAUGCGCCUGCGUUGAAGCUCAUUGUAACAUAUAUGAAGGAGGACAGAAGACGACUGUUUUCAAUUACAUGCCGGAGAAGGCUGCUGACAGAGAAGAGACGACAGCAGGAGCAGAGCCUCUCUCCUGCAAGGCCUUAGGCAUCUUCUUACAAUGCCCAUACAUAUUGCAUAUUCAUAUUAUUAUUUUCUGA